GACGCAAUUUUUCUGAUGGCUACAAAUGGGGGCAAAGAAGCUUCCUCACUGGCUCACGUCUCCUCCUCUCUUCUUUCUCUCUCUCUUUCUUCGUCACUUUGGCAAUCUGGGGGAAAGGGGGAGCCGGCGAUCGCCAACGGGGACCUUGGGGGAGGGCGUGGAUGGGCUGAGGGCCGCCGGGUCUUGGUUGGAGGAGAGGCUUUGGUUGCCGUAUUUGGUUCCAUUUCGAAGAGCCAGAUUUGGGGCGUGGUUGGGCCAAGGCGAGGGUUUUUCUUAGGGAAAAUGGCCUUGGCUUUUUCUCGUUUUUCUUACUGGAUUUGGGGCGGGAAAGAUCACGACGACCAGAGCAAUUCUUCUCUGAGUUCUUCUCCGGAUUUCCCUUCUGGGUUUGGGGAGCUGGAUUCCUUGAAAUUCCCAUCUUUUGAUGGGCCUAAGAUGCGGUCGCCGUCGAGAAGAUUUAAGAAGAAGUGGCAUAGCCGGGAAGAGCGGAGGAUCGACCGGGAGUACGAUAUCGUCCUUGUCCCCUCGGAUGGAGGAUGCAUGUCGGGUUCUGAAUCCGAUGAUUCGGACUGGUCGAUUGGGUGGUUGGAACCUCAUGCCCCUGACUUCCAAGGCGAGGCAGAGAGCAGCUUCGCCGUCCUGGUCCCGUGCUAUGGACGUGGUCGCUGCGAGCAGCCUGAGAGGUUGAAGACUCAUGUUCUGGGUGCGGGUGACCUCGUGGAUGAUAAUAUUUCUGUAUGAUAAAUGGUUUCUGGAGUUACAAAGCUCAUGUAUCUUAUGAGAGUUCUGCAUUACAUUUUUCCAGUACAUUCUGAGCGUGGAAUUGCAAAAUCAAGAUGGCAAGAAUUAUAUAGAACAGUGGCUCUCUUCUCUUCAGAAUGCCUGAUCUCACAAAUGACCUAUUUGUCAGCUUGGCCUUAUAAAGAUGUGUUCUUAAUCUUUCAAAGAUCCUAAGCUCUUACAACAUUAUAAGAAGGAAAAAAAAAAAGAUGAAAAUGAAAAAAAUGGAUAAGAGAAAAGAGAAAAGAACAUAGAGAGCGAUGGGGUGUUGAAAUUCCAGCUGGAUUUUUAGUCUCAGAAGAUUCUGAAGCAAACUACUUCUUGUGAUAAGCAACUAAAGAGAGAGAAGCAGCUGAAGUUAACUGAUCCAAUUGAAAGUUCUACACAUUUUUUCAAAUGGGGACGACUGAAGUCACUAAUUGCUUACAUUGUUUAACCCCCUUGCUCUCUGCCUCCCAUUAGGGAUUUGUUGCAUUGUGGGUAUGUACAUAUAGGUGUAUAUAGUUCUUCUGUAAAUAUCGCUGUAAAUAUGGAACCAUCCUUGACCAAUUAUGCUCUAAAUAGUCUGUGUUUUAGAAAGGCCAAGCUUCUAGCAGGUUGUAAGGCAGGUUUCACUGUUUAAUGCUAUAUAAUUUUAUAAAAUCUACUGAUUUUCUUAUUGAA